rnacentral:rRNA from 1 species
AUUGAACGCUGGCGGCAGGCUUAACACAUGCAAGUCGAACGAUGAUUAUCUAGCUCGCUAGAUAUGAUUAGUGGCGGACGGGUGAGUAACAUUUAGGAAUCUGCCUAGUAGUGGGGGAUAGCUCGGGGAAACUCGAAUUAAUACCGCAUACGACCUACGGGUGAAAGGGGGCGCAAGCUCUUGCUAUUAGAUGAGCCUAAAUCAGAUUAGCUAGUUGGUGGGGUAAAGGCCCACCAAGGCGACGAUCUGUAACUGGUCUGAGAGGAUGAUCAGUCACACCGGAACUGAGACACGGUCCGGACUCCUACGGGAGGCAGCAGUGGGGAAUAUUGGACAAUGGGGGCAACCCUGAUCCAGCCAUGCCGCGUGUGUGAAGAAGGCCUUUUGGUUGUAAAGCACUUUAAGCAGGGAGGAGAGGCUAAUGGUUAAUACCCAUUAGAUUAGACGUUACCUGCAGAAUAAGCACCGGCUAACUCUGUGCCAGCAGCCGCGGUAAUACAGAGGGUGCGAGCGUUAAUCGGAAUUACUGGGCGUAAAGCGAGUGUAGGUGGCUCAUUAAGUCACAUGUGAAAUCCCCGGGCUUAACCUGGGAACUGCAUGUGAUACUGGUGGUGCUAGAAUAUGUGAGAGGGAAGUAGAAUUCCAGGUGUAGCGGUGAAAUGCGUAGAGAUCUGGAGGAAUACCGAUGGCGAAGGCAGCUUCCUGGCAUAAUAUUGACACUGAGAUUCGAAAGCGUGGGUAGCAAACAGGAUUAGAUACCCUGGUAGUCCACGCCGUAAACGAUGUCUACUAGCCGUUGGGGUCCUUGAGACUUUAGUGGCGCAGUUAACGCGAUAAGUAGACCGCCUGGGGAGUACGGCCGCAAGGUUAAAACUCAAAUGAAUUGACGGGGGCCCGCACAAGCGGUGGAGCAUGUGGUUUAAUUCGAUGCAACGCGAAGAACCUUACCUGGUCUCGACAUAGUGAGAAUCCUGCAGAGAUGCGGGAGUGCCUUCGGGAAUUCACAUACAGGUGCUGCAUGGCUGUCGUCAGCUCGUGUCGUGAGAUGUUGGGUUAAGUCCCGCAACGAGCGCAACCCUUUUCCUUAUUUGCCAGCGGGUUAAGCCGGGAACUUUAAGGAUACUGCCAGUGACAAACUGGAGGAAGGCGGGGACGACGUCAAGUCAUCAUGGCCCUUACGACCAGGGCUACACACGUGCUACAAUGGUAGGUACAGAGGGUUGCUACACAGCGAUGUGAUGCUAAUCUCAAAAAGCCUAUCGUAGUCCGGAUUGGAGUCUGCAACUCGACUCCAUGAAGUCGGAAUCGCUAGUAAUCGCAGAUCAGAAUGCUGCGGUGAAUACGUUCCCGGGCCU